CACGCAGGCGGUGACUUAAGUGAGGUGUGAAAGCCCCGGGCUUAACCUGGGAAUUGCAUUUCAUACUGGGCCGCUAGAGUACUUUAGGGAGGGGUAGAAUUCCACGUGUAGCGGUGAAAUGCGUAGAGAUGUGGAGGAAUACCGAAGGCGAAGGCAGCCCCUUGGGAAUGUACUGACGCUCAUGUGCGAAAGCGUGGGGAGCAAACA
rnacentral:rRNA from 1 species